rnacentral:rRNA from 1 species
CAGCCGCCGCGGUAAUACGGAGGGAGCUAGCGUUGUUCGGAAUUACUGGGCGUAAAGCGCACGUAGGCGGCUUUGUAAGUUAGAGGUGAAAGCCUGGAGCUCAACUUCAGAAUUGCCUUUAAGACUGCAUCGCUUGAAUCCAGGAGAGGUGAGUGGAAUUCCGAGUGUAGAGGUGAAAUUCGUAGAUAUUCGGAAGAACACCAGUGGCGAAGGCGGCUCACUGGACUGGUAUUGACGCUGAGGUGCGAAAGCGUGGGGAGCAAACAGGAUUAGAUACCCCAGUAGUCCCUGUCUCUUAUAC